rnacentral:rRNA from 1 species
AGAGUUUGAUCCUGGCUCAGGAUGAACGCUAGCGGCAGGCUUAAUACAUGCAAGUCGUGGGGCAGCGCAGGUAGCAAUACUGGGCGGCGACCGGCAAACGGGUGCGGAACACGUACACAACCUUCCUUCAAGUGGGGAAUAGCCCAGAGAAAUUUGGAUUAAUACCCCGUAACAUAACGAUGUGGCAUCACAUUGUUAUUAUAGCUUCGGCGCUUGUUGAUGGGUGUGCGGCUGAUUAGAUAGUUGGCGGGGUAACGGCCCACCAAGUCUACGAUCAGUAGCUGAUGUGAGAGCAUGAUCAGCCACACGGGCACUGAGACACGGGCCCGACUCCUACGGGAGGCAGCAGUAAGGAAUAUUGGUCAAUGGACGAAAGUCUGAACCAGCCAUGCCGCGUGAAGGAUUAAGGUCCUCUGGAUUGUAAACUUCUUUUAUCUGGGACGAAAAAAAGGCGAUUCUUCGUCACUUGACGGUACCAGAUGAAUAAAGCACCGGCUAACUCCGUGCCAGCAGCCGCGGUAAUAC